CGGAUGAGUGCAUCCUCCUCCUCCCGGGGCGGGUCCUGGCGGUGAUCGGCGUCGGAGCCAAAGAGGUGGCGGCCGACGUCGGGGUCUUCGUCGUGGAGAGGGCGGUCUAGGCCGGUGAAGCUGUGGUCGCCGCUGAGGACGGCGGCGAUCUCAAGGAAGUGGUGGAACUUGAACGAGAUGAAGACGAGGUACAGCGCGGCGACGACG
rnacentral:misc_RNA from 1 species